UACGAAGGGGGCUAGCGUUGUUCGGAAUACUGGGCGUAAAGCGUGCGCAGGCGGUUUUCGUAAGCCAGAUGUGAAAAGCCCCGGGGCUCAACCUGGGAAUGGCAUUUGGGACUGCAAGGCUUGAGUGCGGCAGAGGAGACUGGAAUCCGUGGUGUAGCGGUGAAAUGCGCAGAUAUCAGGAGGAACGAGCCGCUGGCGGAAGGCGGGUCUCUGGGCCGGAUACUGA
rnacentral:rRNA from 1 species